CACUCUCAAAUCCUCCCAUAAUCAGCUGCAAAUCUCAAGUUCGAGCAGAUUGUUGCAUCUUCACAAAAUGUUCAAGCAUGAAGCUUGAUGAAUGUAAGGACAAGGUGCUCCAAACUAAUUCAUCUACCAACUUUGCUCUCGGAACUUCAAGUCAAGACUUGUAAACCGUGAGUAUACUCGAUCCCUUUUUCCCCUUUACACUUUGGGAU
rnacentral:lncRNA from 1 species